GGUAACUACCGUUGAGUGUGUCUCCCUUUUCUUUUUACUUAUUGUCCACAUCCCCAUAAUACCAUAGACACACAAGAGAGAGGAUGCAACACUAGUUUCGAGGUUCAAAAUACUGUCAUACCCAUUUUUAGAUGAUUAGUAAUAAUCUAUGAUUAUUAUCGUGGGUCGAUAAUGGAACCCAGAGGCACAUGCCUCCGCUCCACUCUUUUAUUAUUUAUCACUACUUUAUGGCUCUUCUCAUUUUCUGUAUUUCCAAACUUUCAAUAUACUUUUUACCUGUUGCUGCGUAUGUAACAGUAGGAACUCCCCCACUCCCUUUGAUAUUUGGGAUCCAU
rnacentral:lncRNA from 1 species